GGAUAUAGCCAAGUGGUAAGGCACCAGACUUUGACUCUGGCAUUCGUAGGUUCAAAUCCUGCUAUCCC
rnacentral:tRNA from 1 species